GAGACCAACAAAUCAUGUUCCAGCUUCAAAUUUGGAUAUAGUAUCAUCAUUUUAUUAACUAAGGCACUGACCAGCUACAAGGGAUUGUGGGACUUCUUCAUAGUGGCAACUCCAGUUAAAAAAAAGGAAUGUGAAGAGAAGUUGAUCAAUGACAAUGCCCUUCAUCGAAAUUUCAUAUAUGAAGCUACUCAGUGAAUCCCAAUCCUAAAGUUCAGAAAGGGUAGCAGUACAUCCACCAAUUGUCAUGGUUACACACCACCACAGCUUAAUCUCUUGAAGGGCUGGAGAAGCUAGCUUCGAAAUGAUUCCUCCUUUAGCAAAUGAUUGCAGAAAAGUUAGACGAUCAGUUGUCCACCAGAUAGGCAAUGGC
rnacentral:misc_RNA from 1 species